rnacentral:rRNA from 1 species
GGACGGGUUAGUAACGCGUGGGAACGUGCCCUUCUCUGCGGAAUAGCCACUGGAAACGGUGAGUAAUACCGCAUACGCCCUUCGGGGGAAAGAUUUAUCGGAGAAGGAUCGGCCCGCGUUAGAUUAGAUAGUUGGUGGGGUAACGGCCUACCAAGUCUACGAUCUAUAGCUGGUUUUAGAGGAUGAUCAGCAACACUGGGACUGAGACACGGCCCAGACUCCUACGGGAGGCAGCAGUGGGGAAUCUUAGACAAUGGGCGCAAGCCUGAUCUAGCCAUGCCGCGUGUGUGAUGAAGGUCUUAGGAUCGUAAAGCACUUUCGCCAGGGAUGAUAAUGACAGUACCUGGUAAAGAAACCCCGGCUAACUCCGUGCCAGCAGCCGCGGUAAUACGGAGGGGGUUAGCGUUGUUCGGAAUUACUGGGCGUAAAGCGCGCGUAGGCGGAUUGGAAAGUUGGGGGUGAAAUCCCGGGGCUCAACCCCGGAACUGCCUCCAAAACUAUCAGUCUAGAGUUCGAGAGAGGUGAGUGGAAUUCCAAGUGUAGAGGUGAAAUUCGUAGAUAUUUGGAGGAACACCAGUGGCGAAGGCGGCUCACUGGCU